rnacentral:lncRNA from 1 species
CAUUUCCAUGCUGUACAGAAAAGGCCUCCAAGCCCAAGUUAGGAAGGGCCCUACACUGUUCUUUCAACCCCUCAGCGAUAAAAGUCACAGGAAUGGACUCCUGGAUGCAUCACUCAAGUCAAAGCCUGGAAACCUGAGAGAGAGAGCAACCCCAGACAGCCCAGAGGAAUGUCCUGGAUAUCCAUGUGAAGAAAUAGGAGAUCUUAAGCUGAAAAUCAUAAAAGAUAAGUAAAUGAGUAAGGGCUAUUCAUCCUACUCAGUCCCACUCCUACCUUAUCAGAUACUUUCAGUUAUUUCUACUUUUCCUCUCGAGAUUCGCUGUGAGAUACUAGAACUUCUUUUUGAUGCAUACUUGUGGGAAGAUUUUGAUUAUCCAUGAGAUUACAGUUGUAACUUCAUAGACUCCCAAAGGGAAAUUCUUGCCUGACUGGCUCAUGGAGAAAGCCUACCUAAGAAUGAAGCCGGGACCCGGCAGAAUGGCUCCUGUGAAGAAGGGUGGCAAGAAGAAAAAGGGCCGUUCUGCCAUCAAUGAGGUGGUGACCCGAGAAUACACCAUCAACAUUCACAAGUGCAUCCAUGGAGUGGGCUUCAAGAAGCAUGCCCCUUGAGCACUCAAAGAGAUUCGGAAAUUUGUCAGGAAGGAGAUGGGAACUCUAGAUGUGCACAACUGAUACCAGGCUCAACAAGGCUGUCUGGGCCAAAGGAAUAAGGAAUGUCCCAUGCCGAAUCCAUGUGCAGUUGUCCAGAGAAUAUAAUGAGGAUGAAGAUUCACCAAAUAAGCUCUGUACUUCGGUUACCUAUGUACCUGUUACCACUUUCAAAAAUCUAUAGACAGUCA